rnacentral:rRNA from 1 species
UACGUAGGUGGCAAGCGUUGUCCGGAUUUACUGGGCGUAAAGAGCGCGCAGGCGGUCGAUCAAGUCGAGUGUGAAAGCCCCCCGGCUCAACUGGGGAGGGUCAUUCGAUACUGAUCGACUCGAAAGCAGGAGAGGGUAGUGGAAUGCCUGGUGUAGUGGUGAAAUGCGUAGAGAUCAGGCGGAACACCCGUGGCGAAGGCGGCCAGCUGGGCCGUCCCUGACGCUGAGGCGCGAAGGCGUGGGGAGCGAACGGG